GGGUCCGUGGUGUAGUGGUUAUCACGUUUGUCUUACAAUUUUAGGUGUGCACAAAAGCUCGCCAGUUCGAUCCUGGCCGGACUCA